rnacentral:misc_RNA from 1 species
GAUGAAGAACGUAGCGAAAUGCGAUAAGUAUUGUGAAUUGCAGAAUCCAGUGAAUCAUCGAAUCUUUGAACGCACAUUGCGCCGCCUGGUAUUCCGGGGGGCAUGCCUGUUCGAGCGUCAUUUCACCACUCAAGCCUCGCUUGGUAUUGGGCAACGCGGUCCGCCGCGUGCCUCAAAUCGACCGGCUGGGUCUUCUGUCCCCUAAGCGUUGUGGAAACUAUUCGCUAAAGGGUGUUCGGGAGGCUACGCCGUAAAACAACCCCAUUUCUAAGGUUGACCUCGGAUCAGGUAGGGAUACCCGCUGAACUUAAGCAUAUCAAUAAGCGGAGGA